rnacentral:rRNA from 1 species
GAUGAACGCUGGCGGCGUGCCUAAUACAUGCAAGUCGAGCGAACAGAUGAGGAGCUUGCUCCUCUGACGUUAGCGGCGGACGGGUGAGUAACACGUGGAUAACCUACCUAUAAGACUGGGAUAACUUCGGGAAACCGGAGCUAAUACCGGAUAAUAUAUUGAACCGCAUGGUUCAAUAGUGAAAGACGGUUUUGCUGUCACUUAUAGAUGGAUCCGCGCCGCAUUAGCUAGUUGGUAAGGUAACGGCUUACCAAGGCAACGAUGCGUAGCCGACCUGAGAGGGGGAGCGGCCACACUGGAACUGAGACACGGUCCAGACUCCUACGGGAGGCAGGAGUAGGGAAUCUUCCGCAAUGGGCGAAAGCCUGACGGAGCAACGCCGCGUGAGUGAUGAAGGUCUUCGGAUCGUAAAACUCUGUUAUUAGGGAAGAACAAAUGUGUAAGUAACUAUGCACGUCUUGACGGUACCGAAUCAGAAAGCCACGGCUAACUACGUG